AAAAUGCAUCCUGGUACAUUGUGUCCUUUAGCAGGUUGGCCCAAGGCCACAGCAAGAUGCGCCAAAACCAAUGGUCUGGCCCAUUUCCAGGAGCCCCAAACCAUGACUUGCGGGACAAUCCUGAGUGACCUUCGGGAGAAAAUGAGUUCCAUCAAUUUUCCGAGUAUUGCCACAAGCACUCAAAUCCUCACAUCCAAGGCAGAGAUUCUCACUGCUAAGAACAUCACCAUGGCAGCCCAAAUCGCCACGGAACUUCUGCUUUCCAGCGCCUCAGAGGAGGUCAUCAUCGCCGCAGUCACAACCAUCAGCCAGCUUCUGAAUGCCAACAGUUCUAAAUUCUCUUCCCAGAACAGCAAUGCCACAAAGAGGUAAACCACAUGCACCAGUUGUAGGCUGU
rnacentral:lncRNA from 1 species